UUUAAUUGUCUCCUUUUCCCCACAUUCAUCCCCACAUGGGCUAGUGCAAAGGGAUUUAUUCAUCAGCAAGGUUUCACCAUGACAACUCCCUCUCCUUGGUCUUUAAAAAUAACUGACUGACUGAAUUAUCAAAUUUAGCACUCUUAUGGAAAUAUGAUGUAUUAAUAUUCUGCAAUUAUCAUUUAAAUCUAAUUUUCAAAUUGUUUGGCAGAAAUAAACCUCUCAGGAAAAUGUUA